UCAUAUCCCAAAAAGGGGCACACACCACUCUCUCAUGUUUGAUCUCUCUCUCCCACAUUGUGAAAGAACCUAAGGGUUUAGGUUAUGAAGUUCUUCUCUCAUAUAUCUCAAAUAUGAAUUUACGGCUAAGGGUUUUAGGGUUUAGCAAAAAGAGAAUCCAUCUCUUUCAAACUAGGUUGCUAAGAGAAUUCACCUAGGGUUUUAGUUUGUGAUCAAAGGGGUUCAUAUUCCAUUGGUGUGGCUUGGCCAAAAUUUGCUUUUCCAGUUCGAGAUUGAAGCUAGACCUUUGAUCACGCGUCAUCGGAUGGUGGUGACUCGGUGUGGGGUGUAAUAAGCCCGGUUGAAGUAAUCUCCGGUGCUCUUCUUUUUUUAUUUCUUGCAAUCAUAUCUUUUAUUCUCAAGCAUAGUGCAUGUUUCAAUGGCAUCAAGUUGUUAAGGUCUUGGUUUUAUUGUUAUGUUGAUUUUAUUUUGAAAUUUAUCUUAUUAUAAUAAAGACUACCUGUAAGUGAUCUUUUGUCAAAAGAAAGAGGUGAAAAAAAAAAAUGUAUUCCCCGGUAAAAGAUUAUAUAUCUUUCUUUCAAUCCUUACCCUAUAUGACUUCUACUGCAAUAAAUUUUGAAGGGAAAAGAGCUAUAGACAUGAAAAAAAUUUGAAGAAGUGUAAAUGUGAAUAAGAAUCGACUGAUCUGAAAUGAGAAUUUGAAGAAAUUGGUCCAGUUUCUAGUCAAAAAUGAUAAUCCGUCGGUUCUCUAUAGAAGUGGCCAGGUCUGCUAGGGAACUAGGCGAUUAAUUGCUGCUGUUUUUUUUUUUUGGCUAGUUCGGAGAUAGGAAUUGAACUUGAGAGGUAGUAUUACUAACAUCAAAUGCUAACCACUUAUACUCAAUCCCAAUUCCUAGUUCCACAUUUUUUUAUUUGUUUUUUAGAUUUUAAUUGUAAUUUUUAAUUUUUUAUUUGGUAUCAUUGACCAACUGUCUUGGCCGGACUGGACUGCCAAUCCAAAUUGACAAUUGGCUUAUCAAAACCGAUUUUCUGGAUGGCCAGCUCACCUGACCGUUUUGGGCUUUUACAUAUUGGACAGGACCGAUUCAGGCUUCUACAACUUUGGAUUCCAUAUAAGAAUCACCAUAUGCUUAUUUCAAAAAAGAAAAUAUGAAUAUUCAGCCCAUAACCACUUGAAUCUGUCCCUUCAAAAAUUGGAUGGUCCCUCUUUAUUCUUGGGAAGUUAUUUUUUAUUAUCGCGAUUUGGAAAUUCCUUUUUUUGAGGUUACUAAGUUCACGAGUAAUAUUCCAGUAAUGGACAAUUAACCACUCAAGCUCAAGCACAAUCCCUCAAAGAAUAAUAUCUUGCUUUUUUAUUUUAAGGAAUGAAAAACAACUUCUUGAAAUAGGGCCAUUUGAAUAUUGGAAUUUUAAAGGCUGAUAAAUUUGAAUAGGGACAAAGAGUGUCC
rnacentral:lncRNA from 1 species